AAGCGCUUGCAGCCAGACUUGCUCGCAGUUGCUCAUCCGGACUCCGGUCCGGUGCACUCUUCUGCGCGGCAGGCCAGCAUCAGUUUGGGCGGCUGGAUAAAGGCCUCUUACACGUACCUCCCUUCGGGGUGGACUUAUAGGGGAGGCGACAUGCAGCCAGCCCGGACUGAGGUCCGCGCUUCGGCUAGGAUGCUGGCGUAAUGGCUGUAAGCGG
rnacentral:rRNA from 1 species